AUGGGACGAGCUUCGCUGCUGCGUCUAGCGGCCGCCAUGGUCCUCACCGGCUUGGUUUCUCCGCAGGUUGCAGUGGCGGCACGCGCGACGCCGCCACUGCCGGUGCUGCCGAUCCCAACGGCGGCGCAGCUCGCGUGGCAGCGGCGGGAGGUGAUCAUGUUCUUCCACUUCGGGAUGAACACGUUCACGAACUCCGAGCUGGGCACGGGGGCGGAGGACCCGGCCCUGUUCGCCCCGGCCGCGCUCAACGCCAGCCAGUGGAUGGACGCGGCGGCCGCGGCCGGCGCGUCGCUCGCCAUCCUGGUCGCCAAGCACCACGACGGCUUCUGCCUCUGGCCGUCCGCCUACACGGCCCACUCCGUGCGCGCCAGCCCCUGGCACGGCGGCGCCGGCGACGUGGUGCGCGAGUUCGCCGCCGCGGCGCACGCACGGGGCGUCGACGCCGGCCUCUACCUCUCGCCGUGGGACCUACAUGAUCAGGAGUACGGCCGCGAGGUCGCCUACAACGAGUACUACUUGGCGCAGCUCCACGAGCUCCUCACCGGGUACGGGAGCUUGUCGGAGAUCUGGUUCGACGGCCACAAGGACAAGAACGCGACGAACAUGACGUACCACUUUCAGGAGUGGUUUCAGACCGUGAGGCAGUUGCAGAGCUCCAGCAUCAUCUUCUCCGACGCCGGCCCCGACGUCCGGUGGGUCGGCAAUGAGGAUGGGUUCGUCGGAACCACCUGCUGGUCCACCGUCAACCGCUCCAUGAUAACGAUCGGCGCAACCGGCAUCGAGAAUUAUCUGAACAACGGCGACCCGUGGGGGACGGACUGGGUGCCGCCGGAGUGCGACGUGACGAUCCGUCCUGGCUGGUUCUGGCACGAGAACGAGACGGCCAAGACGCUGAGCCAGCUGUUGGACAUAUACUACACCUCGGUGGGCCGGAACUGCGUGCUGCUGUUGAACGCGCCGCCCAACACCACGGGCCUGGUGGAGGACGCCGACAUCGCCAGGCUCCGCGAGUUCCGCGCCGCCAUCACGCGCAUCUUCGGCACAGACCUCGCCGAUGGCAGCACGGCUCGGGCCAGCAGCGAGCGCGGCGGCGACUUCGCGGCGGGCAAUGUGCUGGACGGCCGGGACGACACGUACUGGGCGCCGAUGGCGGAGGACGGGCGCAGGGACGGGUACUGGGUCGAGCUACGGCGGCCGGCGAGAGCGCGUGCGCGGCCGUUCAACGUUGUUAGGAUACAGGAGCACGUGGCGCUGGGGCAGCGGGUGGAGCGGCACGAGGUGUACGUGGACGGCGUGGCCGUGGCCAGCGGCACGACGGUCGGGCACAAGCGGCUGCACCGACUGGCCGGACCCGUCGUUGGCCGGACGGUGAAGAUAUGGUUCGCCGCGCGCCGUGGGCCUCCGGUAGUGUCGGCGGUGGGCCUGCAUCUCGACCCUCACGAAAUCAAUCGCCCGAGCCAAUAA
rnacentral:rRNA from 1 species